UAUCACAUUUUCAACAAAUGAACUAUUGUGCAGUGCCUUAUUAUUAGUGCGCGAGUGUUGCAAUAUACGUGUAGUGCGGGAGUGUUGUCUUAUAGUGCGGGAGUGAAAAUCGACUUUCUUCAGUUUUUACACUUACAUACACAUACACACCUUACACUUUUUGCUCUGUUCAUGAUCAUUGUCAGAGUUCUCGGGUAUUGGUGUGUUUCGGCACAUCUUACCCACACACACACACAUAUCACAUUUUCAACAAAUGAACUAUUGUGCAGUGUCUUAUUAUUAGUGCGCGAGUGUUGCAAUAUACGUGUAGUGCGGGAGUGUUUAAUUAUAGUGCGGGAGUGAAAAUCGACUUUCUUCAGUUUUUACACUUACAUACACAUACACACCUUACACUUUUUGCCCUGUUCAUGAUCAUUGUCAGGGUUUUUAGGGUAUUGGUGUGCUUCGGCACACCUUACCUGACAUUCUUAACACAUAAUACAAAACAAAAUAAAUUAAAAUAACACAACAUCAGGGUAGGUAACUAAGGAUCAGGUAGAAUCAAUAGGAAACGCAUAAAAUGAAGAAUGACAAGAAGAAGAACAGAAGAAACAAACAAAUGGUUGGCAAAGAAAAUUUACCCAACACGAUGAUACAAUGAGCCUUGCAUUAACAGAAAGAAUCCAAUAUUAAUUGUGAAAAUCAAGAAUUUCAACGAAACUAAAUGGAAUGGGUAUGAAUACCAACAACUGUAAUAAAUAAUUGUGUUUGUGUGUUUUACUAUAGUGCGCGAGUGUUUUUAUAUAGUGCGGGAGUGUGAAAUUUAGUGUUAUCAAUAUUAGUGUGAAAUAGUGCUUCAGUGAAGAUAUUUGUUCUUACUCAUCUAUUCUGGAUACAGCCGAAUUACCUAAGCAGAAAAACUUCUACAUCAGAGUCAAACAACAUAUUAAAUUGAUAAAUUUUAGAAUGAGAUACGUCAAAAUGGAAUUGGAUAAAUACUGAUACCAACGUUUUGUGCAGUGCAAUGUAUUAUUAAUAGUGCGUGAGUGUUGAAUUAUAUUGUGCAUUUCGUUAAACAAGUGUUAGUGCGGGAGUGCGCGAGUGUUGCAAUAUAGUGCGGGAGUGAUGAGAUAUUUAAUAAUUUCUUUCCAGUUUGCACGAAUUUUUUUCACUGCACGAAAGUCAAUAGUCAUGUUGCACGUUGUUAUGUUUCACUUUUGAAUGUGAAACAAGAAGAUCCUUCCAUCCUGAGGGCCAUGAAGAGAUAAGACGCUCUGUUGGAAUAUGGCACAUUUCAAAAGAACUUGAGGAGCCGAAGAAGAAUAUGUUAUCCGUCCACGCCGAGGUUGAUCCUGAUGGUCCAAAAUCAGCCAGCUUUCCACCCUUGCGGGUCAGGGCCUGAUGUGUAUACCCAUCAAGGAAUGGGUUCCUACCCUUGCAAAGUCGGGGAGAAACUGAGCUGACGAAGACUUAAUGAGGUGCAGUUCUGUCCACGCCGAGGUCGAUCCUGAUGGUCUCGGCUCAGCUAUCUUUCCGCCUUUGGGGGUCAGGGCCUGAUGUGUAUACCCAUCAAGGAAUGGGCUACUGCCCUCAGGGGUAUGCAAACCUGGAAAGAAACUGAGCUGACGACGAAGAAGAAGAGGUCGAUGUGAUGCAGUUCCAUCAACGCCGACGUCGAUCCUUAAAAGGCCGGGACCUGUUGCAGCCAACUAUUCGACCAGGAAAAGCCUCUGGGGGUCGUGUGUAUACCCAUCAAGGAAUGGGCCACUACCUCCGGGGGUAUGAACAGCCGCCAAGAUGCUUAGAAGCUGGAUUACAUUUCUUGCCACCGUUGGGAUUCAACAUGGGGAGCAUGAGGGCAACAUGCACAUGAAUCACACAAACAUCGCAUUUUUUAAUUGCUUUAAUAUCUUUUAAUUUUUUUAGUUUUGCAAAAAUAACUUGAAAGUGAAGAAGACGAAACAUUAUAAUGCAAAAUGUCACAUUCAGUGGUGAACAAAAAUGGAUCAACAAUUGUCAGAAUGAGAGGACUCAAAAUUGUGUUUCAUGUGUUCACAAGCAGUUCGUAGUGUAGUGUAGUGUAGUGAUAGCAAGCACGUAGUUGUAGUUAUAGUUGUAGUCGUAGACUAGAAGUAGUGUAGUGGACUGUGAAAUGAACACUGAAAUGCAAUUUCCUUACUGUAACUAUUGUUGACUCCAUUUAAUCAAAGAUGUGAAGAUGCAAAUCGACAUUAAUUGUUCCGGAACGACCUGUAAGGAAGAAGCACUCAAUCCUUGCCAAAAUCGUGGUAUACCAAGAGGGACACACAAAACAUUUUGUUUUGAUAUUGCGAUUUUUAAAGACAUAAAAUCGAGACAUAAUUACAAUGUAACAUAAUUACUAUUUAAAAAAUUUAUAUAAGUUUUUGUGAUAGAAUUACAAUUUUGUUUGAGUUA